UCUAGUAACAAGUAUCUGUGACUGUUUGGAGUCCUGCAUUUGGAGAGUUUUCAUCACUGAUUCUGGAUGAGAUUAUACUGCCUCACCAACCAGAGCGAAAAUACCAACUGGCAGCUGUCACACCGAAGCAAGGUUUCAGCAUUCCCUCCUCCCCCUACCCUUUUACCAGGGAUUUUGGAUCCAAAUGACCCAUUACAAUUUGACACAGCUGCAAGAAAUGGGACACUUCUAUCCAGCAUGACAGAGAAGUUGGGGGCAGGGAGGAAAAGAAAGCUAUUUGGAAACUCAGAGCUCCAAAAUCAGAGUCAUCGGAGUCUCUUAAGUACUCUGCCAAAGGACUAGCUCCAUAUAUCCUUUUUGCUGCCUUACUACUUUUCAGUCCUUCUUCAAUGUAGCCAUAUAAACAGUUUAAGCCAUCAUACCCUAACAGCCCAUUUCAAGCCACAAUACACAAUAAUUUCUAAAUAAUUUGUCAAUUUCAUUCCAAAAACUAUUACCACCUGAGAGAUCAGAGUACCCUUGGAGGAAGACGUACCACUCUCCUGGAGUUGCUGGCCUUGCGUCUCUGGAGCGGCAGAAGGAACCAUUGGAGUUAUCACGUAUGCAGUCGUGCCCACGGGACCACCGAGAUGCAUGACACCAGUUUCCCCAGCAGCUGGGAGAAGAAGACGACUGUCGCUGACCCUGUUGAAUGGAUGGUUCUCACCAGAGACUUGAUGCUAUCUACUCUCUCCUGAGUGAGGAAGACUUUGCAGUCCCUGGAGUCGAUCACCGUGCCGAGAUGUUGAAUUCUGCAGGUUGGGGUCAGGUGGCUCUUGAUGAGGUUGACCGAGUACCCAUGGUAUUGCAGGACUCGGAUGGUGAUGUCUAGAUCCCUCUGGGCCUGCCUCCUGGACCACGAGUGGAUAAGGAUGUCGUCCAGGUAACAUUCCAGUCUUACUGUGAGAGAUCGGUGAUGCGCAGCGAUGGCGGCUAGUAGUUUGUUGAAGGUUCGUGGAGCCGAUGAGAGGCCGAAGGGGAGGGUUCUGUACUGAAAGUGUUGAUUGGCAAACUGGAAUCUCAAGAACUUGCGAUGCGCCGGGUGGAUUGGAACAUGCAGAUAUGCCUCCUUCAGGUCUAUAGAAGUCAGGAGACUUCUGCCUGACGCAACCCAGAAUGGUCUGAAGGGACUGCAUCUUGAAGUGCUUGUAAGCCAGAAGCUCGUUGAGUUUCUUGAGGUCCAGUAUUGCCCUUACACACACACCCCCGAUGGUUUGGGGACCAGAAACAGGAUGGAGUAGAACCCCCUGCCCUCCUGGCCCCUGGGAACCUUCUCUAUAGCCACUAUCUCUAGCAAAUGAUCUAUCUCCGCCCUCAUGAGCUGGAACUUGUGGGCGGACCUGGGAGUGGGGCAACGGACAAAGGUCCUCAGGGGAAAGGAUAGGAAUUCCAGGGUCAACCCGUGACGGACAGUAUUCAGAAUCCAAGUGUCCGUCGUGGUCUCCUCCCACUGAGUGGCAUAAAGCUGGAGUCGGCCAUCUAUGGGAGGGUCCCGGUGAUGGUCACUUUGGCUUCCGAAAGGAGCGGUUGGAGUACCCCCCUUGGAAUGGUCUACGGUUGCCCUGCUGCCUGUUCUUGUCCCUAUAGGUGGAUUUAUCCUGGGGACGAUCUUGGGAUGGGGCAUAAGGUCAACUGGAUCCCCCAGAAGAGAUGGAGGGCUCUGCGCUCUGAAAGGAGUUCCUGUGAAAAGCCUGACCCUUACGGACCUGCUUCUUGGUGACCGCAGGCAGGAUCUUACGCUUAUACUUGGACUCGAUUAAAAAGGGAUCCAAGGCCUCCCCAAAUAACUUUCCUCCUUUGAAGGGAGCGGAAGCGAGCUUCCACUUCACCUUCACGUCCGCCUGCCAGUGGCAGAGCCACAGUAGGUGGCACCAGGUUACACUAGAGGCAAGGGCUCUAGAGGAGAAUUUUGUGGCACUGAGUGAGGCGUCAGCUGAGUACUCAACAGCCGCUAUUAUCUUGUUAACAGCCUGUCUCGCCCUGGUAUCCCCUGCUAGAAGGCCUAACAGCAAUUUGUGGAGCCAGAACAGAGCUGCUCUUCUGAAGUAUGAAGAAGAAGAGGAAACCCUCAUGGCCCAUGCAGUGGCCAGUUCCCAAAGAAUCACUUAAACCAGAUGGUACUUUCAUCUCCCAAACCCCAACAUUCUUGAGAGUCGAAAUAACCACAGACAAGAAAGAUGCCGCCAUUUUAGAAUAAAUCUCAUUGUCUUCAUUCAAAAUGUAUACAAGAAGCCACAGUCCAGUCAAAACAUAAUGAAAGAAAUUGGUUUCAGGUCAGCAAAGGUGUAAAGUAAAAUUGUACAGUACUUUCUCUUUAUUUAUACAAUGCACUGAAUAGAACAUUGAGGGAUGUUGGAUUGAGUCUGAUUUUAAAACUGGAAGUAGUAAUCUGUAUGAUGCUCAUGAUUCUACUCUGAUAGUUGAAAAUCUAUCUGGAAGCUCUAGUAAUGAUUACAAAGCUCUAGUAAUGAAAAUCAAGGAACACAGUGGAAAAAUGGUCCUAAAAUUAAAUAUAAAGACCAAAAUGGUGACAACAGCUACAGAAAGUAGUCUUAUAAUUGACAAGAAAAUGCAACAGUGGUAAAGCUUCUCCCUUUUACCAACAAAAGGAGCAACAAAAAAAAGCUCCAGACUAGCAUGGGUAGGAUCACAAUUACAGUCAUCACUACUUGUAGGUUAUUUGAUGGUGUUAGAAAUGUAUUAAGAAUGUUAUUUUCCAACUGUUAGAGUGAUUAUGAUCAUGAAUAAGACUGUGUGUGAGUUAUAAGAAUGAAUGUUUAUAAUUGUAAUGUAAUUGCAAUAAUAAGUAGGUCAUGGAUAUUUUUAUUAGUUUUAAUAGAAUACUGAAUUUAUGGAUCAUUGGCCUGAGAAUUGUCUGAUACAAGAAUGAGGCCAGAAUUAUAGUCAUAAGUCAUGCUGUUCAUUAAGCAGGUCACCACAUCACAUUUUAUGACCUUUUAACAGCACUUGUUAACUGAAUCAUCGCAGUUGUUAAGAGAAUUCAUUGUCUUGAAGCAAACAUUGUUUUCCAACAUCAACAACAAAACCUGCUGUAAAAUGCAAUCACAUGACGGGGGAGGAGAGCCAUCAGAACUUUGAAUCCAGGUUGUAAGUAGCCCUGGGGAGAUCUGUCAUAUGUAUGAAUGGUCAUUACACAACCAAUUGUAGGUCGAGGUCUACCUGUAUUGGGGAAACUAUAAUUAAUGCAUCUAGUGUCCAAGUGGUGAACUGGGCUCAUGGGCUUAAUGGUCACUGAUACUCUAAUUUUCUAUGAAAUUCAUAACUGUUUCAAAAAUUGCAUUAUACAAAGUCUCACUAAAUCAACUUUAUUUUUGAUUUUUUUUAAAAAGAAGAAUUAAAUAUUUCUAUGGGGCUAUUGUUUUGAUUAACAAUUAUUUAUUAACAGCCACAAUCUUGCUUUAAAAAACUUCCAGAAAGCUUUUAAUUACAGUGGUAUCUCUUCAAGCAUACUCUGGUAAUACUGCUUUCCAGUAAACCAAAAUAAAUUGACGACAUUAGAGAAACUUGCUACAGUGAAUGGAUCUGUUAAAUUAACACAUUUUCUGUCAACCAAAUCAGCUGCCUCUAGUACCAUUGUUGUCAAGACAAUAGAGACCCCGGGAAUGGGCACCCAUUUUAAAAAGAACAUGUCUACUGAAAAGGAUACACUCUGGAGGAAUGAGCUUGUGUGUUUAGCUGGAUUCAUUACUGUAAGGAAGAAAGCUAGUUGCAUUGUUCUCACAGGGAACAUAGAUGCAAUCAUACUAUGCAGCUGGAAAAAUAUAUAUAAAAAUAAUAUAUUAGUGUUUUUUUUACCUGUAUCUUCAUAACCUAAGUUUAAAUGUAUCUCUUACCAUAGUAAUUUGUAAUAAUUUCCUCUCCAAAGAUUUAUGAAAACAUCUUUAGACACCAUAGUAGCUUUCCCCUCCCCCAUGUCCUACCAAACAGGCACUGAACAGAUGCCAAGCGUGGAGUGCCAUCAAUAUACAAUUGCCACGUUAGGGAGAACAGAACCCUUAAGAAUUAGGCUUGCUCAGCAAACAAAGCUUCACUGCCUUAACCCAAUAUAUUAUUUUGUACUGAAUUAGACCUUUUCUGAGCUUUUGUUUGAGGCAGUUGUUUGGUACACAUACAACUUUGCAAAAAAUUGUGCAUUUCCAAAAGUAAUGCAAAUUCACAAUUUUCAAUGUGGCUUCUAAUUGUCAAAAAUUAAAUUGGAUAUUCAGUGCUGGUUUCAUUAACUCAACGUAUUUCAGCACUGAAGUUUAACUUUUAUUAUCCAAACUAAACUUCAAUGAAAAUCUAUCAUAAUCUUUUCAUUCUUAUUAUAUCUAAUGGAAUAUCAUUUGUUAAUUGAGUUAAUAAAAUUACAAGUGGAACUAAUACUGCCUUCACACAAUUCUCAAUGUAGCAUUACUCAAUGAGAGAGAAUGCAUUCUCCCAUGUUGGUGGAGAUAGCAGCCAGGCUGAGUUUUACUCCAUUCAGUAUCCAAUUGGACUGGGUCUACAAUCUGUAAUGUCAUCAUGCACUGGUGGCUCCUCCCAGCUUUAGACUCAGUCUAUCCAGGACUGGACAUUAGAUUUGUUCUCUCCCUGGUAGAUUAGAGAUAAUUAAUUCCAAUUGGCUCCUCUUUAAAUCAGACUCAAGUGGGAGACGUACAAAUUGGCCAGCAGGGCCUCUGAUCAAAGUCUUGUAAAAUGUAUUACACCCCUGUUGAAAAAUCAAUAUAUUUGAUAGACUUAAGCAACAAACAUUUGCUAAGGUGGUGAAUUUUUGCUGGUAUAGGAAUAUGCAAAUUUGAAAGGAGACAAACCUAUAAACUAUAAAGGCAAAUCAAUGGUAAGACUGAAAGAGGGGGAAAUCUUUAAUAUAACAUUAAAGAUUGAUUAUUGCACAUUUUCUCCUAAAUAUUAUUUGGGGAAUUUGCUACUAUAAAUCCUGUCUGGAAAAAUGUGGCAUAUUAAUUAUGCUAUUUAAGCAGCAUAUUUCCAGGAACUCAUAUUUAGAAGUAAAUUGUAUUCUAUUUAGUGGUGUUUAUUCCCAAGUAAGUUCACAGAGCUUCAUUUACAAAGAUCUUUCCUAAUUAUUGUAUUCUAUGUAUAAAAUACAGAAUCCCAAAUAAGAAUUCCAUAAAUUAUACCUAUACCAUUCCCUAUUUAAAACUGGGCUAACAAUACAGUUUCUGAAUUUUUCACCUCCAUUUGACUUUUCUACCAACACUAUUAACUCAGUAUCUUUUUAUAGAAAUUUAAAGUAUAACUAUGUUGAAAGUGUUUAGUAAUGGGAAAAGAGUCAAAUCCAUAUAAAUCAUAGUGCAAUUCUAUCAUAUAGUAACACUUUAUUUAUCCACUAAUACUAUAUACUGAUUCAAAUAAACUGAAAUUUACAAGUCUUAAAAUAAACACUUCUACUCCUCAAAGAAAACAAAUACUCAAGCAUAAAUUAAUACUUGGGUGCUACAGUACAUGCUUCUGUGAAAGUUUGGAACAUUAUAAAUUUCACUGUGAAAGAAUCUGGCAUAAUACUAGUAAUUGUAUUUAAAUAUUAUUAAUAAAAUCACAUUUAAUUUUAUCCUAACCCCAUAAGUGUGACUAGCUAAGAAGAAAAAAGGGAAUAUGGAUAUUUUUUAUUUAAAAUGUAAAAAACAAAGUUUGGGAAGAAAAGCACACAAAAAAUUACUAGUCAAAGUUUUGGGAAAAGUAUACAGCAAUAUAGAUUUCUCAGAUUAUUUUUAUUACAAUUGAUUCUUCUUUUACAAAUAUUAACCAGUUUAUAGAUUAUUCACAA